GGGAGGGGCCAUGGCUCGCACCCACGCCUGAUAGGGUCUGGGGGGGAGGGGCCAUGGCUCGCACCCACGCCUGAUAGGGUCUGGGGGAGGGGAGGGGCCAUGGCUCGCACCCACGCCUGAUAGGGUCUGGGGGGGAAGGGGAGGGAGCGCCGGCACCACUCGCUCCCUCCGUGGCUCCUCCGCACCGCCCCCAGUCUGCCUGCGGGGGCGCCGGAGAGCAGGCAGGGGGCUGGGGCCUCGCUCCAGGGUGGGCUGAGCACUGGCCUGGUGCGGAGGGAGAGUUGGCUGAUGACUGGGACUCACGGGACUCAAACUCGCGCCACUCCCCGACCACAUGGCAGUACGGACCACGCUAAGUCAUUCACUCCCGGCUAACGAUUUAGUUUUGUAAACAUGACCAACGUAGCCUAAUAACUUGUGUUUUUUAAUGUUGAUACUCAGUGUUAACGUGUUAACUGUACACCAUAAUAUUUAUAUCUAUUUAUUUUUUGUGGUGGUACAUAUUGAUAUUAUUAAUGUGAUAUUGUUUUAGAGUGCCUGUAACUAUGACGUAUCUACACUGAAACACAAAGUCGAAACAUCAUUACGAUUACUAUCGUACGAUGGUACCAACAGCGUGACUGCAUCGUACCGGCAUCACAGACACUGGGACUAUCGUACUCAGAUUGUAACGACAUCGCAGACAAACUGGGACUAUCGUACUCAGAUCGUAACAGCAUCACAGACACUGGGACUAUCGUACUCAGAUUGUAACGACAUCACAGACCAACUGGGACUAUCGUACUCAGAUCGUAAUAUCAUCACAGACACUGGGACUAUCGUACUCAGAUCGAAGCACAACGUCACCUUGACCAAACCAGGGUUCGUUUCCCAAAAGCAUAGUUGCUAACUUCCUUAGCAACCUACCUCUUAGGGACUCAACAGUUAAUAGGAAAGUGUUCCCCAAAACCAUUUCACCUACACAGUAAGCUCAUAGUAUGGAGGAAGUUAUUAAGCUCCAUAGUACUAGCAAGGUAAGGCUCCCUGACUGUUUUCCCAACAACAUAGUCUGGCUGAGUCCUUAUUACCCACAUGGUAAAAGGCAAAUUAUUUACACCAGCUCUACAGCUGUUGUAGGUCCAAAUGAGGCCUCAUGCUUCCUGGAUAUUCAUGGUCACAUGAUAGAUUUCAGUCUUCUUCGUCUUUUUUACACAAUCAGCAUUCCGAGUUAAUGCAGCAGCGCCUCCCAAUGGUAGGGUGUGGAACAUCACUGGACCUUUAAUGGCUCACAGAUACUUUCUUUAACAACCCUGUUAGUUUUACAGACGUGAUACGAUUCUGGGCAGUGGGUUUCAGAGAAGUGAAUUCAUUGAUAGCCUACAAUCUAAAAUAAAAAAUUAUCAAGAAACAUGCAUCCACUGCAGGGACAACAAAAGAUGCUGCCCCCUGUCAAAACGAAUAGGCUAUAGAAAUAUUGCAGGAGGGAGAUAUACAGCCGAGGUACUGAAAGAGAUUGACAGACUUCAAACAUCUAAAGUCCAUCAUUAGAACUGAGGAGACAAAAUGCACCUGGCAGGGAUUGAACCGUUGGCAAACCUGUGAAUAUCAGGGCAGUGCUCUGACCACUCAGCCAUUUAACACUUGCACACAUUUUGGGAGAAAAGUAAUUUAUUUACUUAUCCAUAUCCACAUCCGAAUUUCUCACCAAAUUCAUUGUUAGAAUUAUAUUUUUUCCAUAAACAUAUAACGUUUGGAGCAACUUUAUUGAAUUGCAUAGAUAGUGCCUACGCUGAUGAAUUCGCCAGUGUCCCUAAAGAUUUGUGGGGCGUUCUUUCCAAACAAACAAUUAAUUCCGAAAUUGUUUCUAACGUUGAUACAAAGGAUUGGUAGGCUAUACACAAUCAAGUUGGCGUAUAUUAACCACAACUGUAUAACAAGCAUGUAUAGUCUAAAUAUCAAAGUUUGUGAGGCUUCCACCUGUGAAUGAUUGAAUGCCUCAGAGCAACUCCGAACUCUGCCUGCAGAAAACAUCUGUUCACUAUCUACUAGCUGAUAAGUAUGCAGCUAAUCAACGAGGAGCACAGCUACGUAUUGCUAUGUUAGCUGGAGAUUUUUGGGAAACACUCGUAGUUCGGCUGCUGCAUAGUAGAACAGGGCUUAGUAAUAAGUCGGCAAAAUGCUAUUGUCCUGACUGUUUUGGGAAACGCACCCCAGAACCUUACUGCAGUGACCAUGACCACCUCGUUACCGUGGUGACAACAUCGUACCCACAUCGUACCCACAACGUAGACAUCGUAUUGACAACACACCCACAUGGUAGACAUCGUACCCACAUCAUGACUGCAAUGUUGGUCUUUAAUGUAUGGGAUCUUAAAGGUGCAGUACAGUUUAUGCACAGGAACAUGACACUGAGCGUUUAAUAUGGGUUUUGCAUUCAUAAUUCACAAUAUCGAAAGAAGUUGUCUUUUAUGUUGGCUAACUGCGAGAACGAUGUCAGUGGAUUUGGUUUGUCUGCUUCCAUGGCUGCAGAAUGAUGUUUUUAUGUCCAGAUUUGUGUCAUAUCUGGCAGUGUCUGGAGAGUUGUGGUCGGGGAAGCUAGUGUUGGACCAGGCAUGUUUCUCUCACGACAUUUUGUACCUUUAAUGUGGUCUUGUUUCACUGUUGAUAUAAGCUCUAACUCUCUUUACCUAACAACACAAAACAAUUCAACUAAUGAGAAUUUGAUGACAAUAAUAUUCAAAACAUUGUGAUUUCACCAAUCAAUCACCAAUAAAACCCGAGGGAAUCAAUACUAAUUUGGAAACCUAUUUUGUGUUUAGUCAUUAUCAGACACUUUUAUCUAAAGACAAUUACAAUUAUUAAAUUAAGGAGCAGGUAGGGGUUAGACAGUAGAGACAGGUCAUUCAGGAGCAGGUAGGGGUUAGACAGUACAGAGACAGGUCAUUAAGGAGCAGGUAGGGGUUAGACAGUAGAGAGACAGGUCAUUAAGGAGCAGGUAUGGGUUAGACAGUAGAGAGACAGGUCAUUAAGGAGCAGGUAGGGGUUAGACAGUACAGAGACAGGUCAUUAAGGAGCAGGUAGGGGUUAGACAGUACAGAGACAGGUCAUUCAGGAGCAGGUAGGGGUUAGACAGUACAGAGACAGGUCCUUAAGGAGCAGGUAGGGGUUAGACAGUAGAGAGACGGGUCAUUAAGGAGCAGGUAGGGGUUAGACAGUACAGAGGUAGGGUUACUGUCUAGGGAUUACUACCCUGCCACAGAUGAGUCCUGUCCUAAUAAUCCCAGAAUGCAUCACAGGAGCCAUACGACGCCCUACCACUUGGCCUUUGACAGAGAGUCAGAGUUCAGAUCAUCAGUGAGCGCGUGCACCCUGGACCUGGCUCGGUAACGUUGGGCUCUGACAGGCACACAGGGUGGCAGCAAUACAGCACAUGAACAGAUGACACACAAAUAUAUAUACAAGUAUAUAUGUAUCCAAUAAAGUUAUUUAAGAAUUGUACUGGUGAACGUCUUGUGUACUUUCAAUCCCACAGAUAUGUUGGAUAACAACUCUUAUGGCUGUCCUGAUUUGGUGUGAAUCGCUCUCCC
ensembl:lncRNA